rnacentral:tRNA from 13 species
GUUCUUUGGCGGCGGUAGGAUUGAACUGAGGACCUUUCGGUUAUGAGCCGAAAAUCCUAACCACUAGACAAAAGGAA